CCGUCUGCGGCCGCCCUCAGCACGAUGGUGUCCAGCGGGGUCCUGCCGGCACAGGCGCCAGGCCCGUGACCUCAUGGUGGGCUCAGUUCCACACAAGCAGGAGCUCUGCUCGGGUCUGCGUCUUAGGAACUGGCAGUUGCCAGAAGGCUCCUCAAAGGAAGAGAUGACCUUGGAAUUGCCCUCCAGCUGCACGCAGGCUCCCCCGCUGGGCUGACUGCACCCCAGGCAGCUCCCCAGUGGCGAGAGCGCCAAGGGCCUGGGUGCAGCGUGUCCUGACAUCUGCACAUCUUGUUCAAUGUGCCAUUAAAGGUCUGACCCAA